rnacentral:rRNA from 1 species
CCUACGGGAGGCAGCAGUGAGGAAUAUUGGUCAAUGGACGAGAGUCUGAACCAGCCAAGUAGCGUGAAGGAUGACUGCCCUAUGGGUUGUAAACUUCUUUUAUAUGGGAAUAAAAUGUUCCACGUGUGGGAUUUUGUAUGUACCAUAUGAAUAAGGAUCGGCUAACUCCGUGCCAGCAGCCGCGGUAAUACGGAGGAUCCGAGCGUUAUCCGGAUUUAUUGGGUUUAAAGGGAGCGUAGGUGGAGUGUUAAGUCAGUUGUGAAAGUUUGCGGCUCAACCGUAAAAGUGCAGUGGAAACUGGCAGUCUUGAGUACAGUAGAGGUGGGCGGAAUUCGUGGUGUAGCGGUGAAAUGCUUAGAUAUCACGAAGAACUCCGAUUGCGAAGGCAGUUCACUGGACUGCAACUGACACUGAGGCUCGAAAGUGUGGGUAUCAAACAGGAUUAGAUACCCUGGUAGUC